CUUUAAUUUUACUUAGUAACAUAAAUUGCUUAAAACAAAACAUAUAGAAUUUCAUAUUCACAAGUUUGCCUAAUAUGAUGUUUCAGAAAAAUAUUGUAUGUUCUCUUAGUUAAUGCUUAUGUCCUUGCCAUUGACUUGUUUACAGAUUAUUUCAUUGGAUUGCCCUCUAAUUCCGAGUUUUUGUAGUCUGAAAUCCACCCAGGGUAUGUGCAGGUCAAAGUCUGGAGGAGCUUUGGGGUAAUAGGAAGAACUCAAGACUCCAAGUCCGGAGACACAGGUUUGAAUUCUAGGUCCCUGGGUUCCUAAAUCUCUCUGAGCCUUCAGUUUCCUCAUCUAUGAUAAGUGGAUGACAAUAAUCAGUUUACAGGGUGACUGUGAGAAUUAAAUGAAAUAAAAUACUUUGAAUACUUAGCAGUGCUUAGUAUAUAUUUAAUUUGACAUAAUCUAAAAGUGUUUGCUCGGGUUUGCUGGAAGUAAAAAAUUGGUGCUCAACAUCACCUCUCACUUGAAUGGAAGAAAUAGCCAUUGGACAGAGACAUCCGUAUAUUAAUGAUUGGCUCUGGGUCUGUUUAUUUUUAUUUGAGUCAAUGAAUAAGUGCCCAUACAGCACUUUGUCCACUACUAAGAUUCUUAUACUGUGUUAAUUUCCAUAGCAGCAUUCCUGCCUGCUGAGUUUCCUGGAUUUGCUGAGCUAAACAAGUUCAUUCGCACCCAGUUCCACCUGGGAUGAAGAUCCAUCUACAGGGCUGGAACUGACAGGGAAAACUUUUCAUCCCAUCUGAGGUCACCUUCACUUACAGGAUGCUGGCUGCUGAUAAGUAUCCUAUCAGGAGAAGAAGAGAAAAAUAAUUUGACACUUAUAGCCUGUCUUGAAAGAUGAGAUUCACUUAUCAGCAAACCAGAUGAAGAGAAUCACUGAGCACAGAAAUGAGAUCUGAGCACACUAGAGCUCAACUAAUGUAUCCCUGCCCACACAGGGUUAGUCUCUACAAAUUGCCUAUUUCAGUUAUUUAGCCCCAUUUUUUUCCCAGAGAUGGUGUGUUUCGUAUAAUCAAUAGCUACAAAAUAAAAGCAGCAUCUGCCUUGCCUUCUUUUCCCGUUAUUUGGCUGUGGCCUCCUAACAAUGAGACAAACAGAGAAGAGAGAAGUAAACAAGAAAUCAAAGAGAUCUAGGGGAGAUAGCUAAUGUGGG
rnacentral:lncRNA from 1 species